AGAUCAUUUUAUAGAGCAGUGGGUACCAUUUUAAAAGAAAAGAAAUAGAACGAAGACCUGGCGCCAGGGCAGGGCUGUGUAGAUGUGAAUUUAUCCUUCUGCAGUGCAAAGAAUAAAUGUGUUGGGAUGAACUCUUAAUCUUCGUGGAAAUGAUAGACUCUGAGUGGACAGGAGAAGGUGUGUACAUUGUGAGGAGAAAACCAGAUUCUCUCCAAUGACUGAAACAGCAACUGAAAUCAACAUCCAAUUCAUCGCAAGUCCUACUGUUAUAGUCCCCCAAGAGCAUCCUAUAUGCAGGU